ACACCAUCCUGCGCGCAUAUAUAUAUAUAUAUAUAUAUAUAUAUAUAUAUAUAUGUGUGUGUGUGUGUGUGUGUGUGU